rnacentral:tRNA from 1 species
UUUGAUUUGGCAGACUAAUGCGUUUAAUUUAGGAUUAAACUAUAACUUUAUGUUAAUC